rnacentral:snRNA from 1 species
CUGCUUGCUUCAGCAGCACAUAUAUUAAAUUGAAUGAUACAGAGAUUAGCAUGGCCCUGUGCAAGGAUGACAUGCAAAUUUGUGAAGUAUAUUAAAAUGCU